rnacentral:rRNA from 1 species
GACGAACGCUGGCGGCGUGCUUAACACAUGCAAGUCGAACGGAAAGGCCCUGCUUUUGUGGGGUGCUCGAGUGGCGAACGGGUGAGUAACACGUGAGUAACCUGUCCUUGACUUUGGGAUAACUUCAGGAAACUGGGGCUAAUACCGGAUAGGAGCUCCUGCUGCAUGGUGGGGGUUGGAAAGUUUCGGCGGUUGGGGAUGGACUCGCGGCUUAUCAGCUUGUUGGUGGGGUAGUGGCUUACCAAGGCUUUGACGGGUGGCCGGCCUGAGAGGGUGACCGGCCACAUUGGGACUGAGAUACGGCCCAGACUCCUACGGGAGGCAGCAGUGGGGAAUAUUGCACAAUGGGCGGAAGCCUGAUGCAGCAACGCCGCGUGCGGGAUGACGGCCUUCGGGUUGUAAACCGCUUUCGCCUGUGACGAAGCGUGAGUGACGGUAAUGGGUAAAGAAGCACCGGCUAACUACGUG